ACUAAUCAAAACACUCAACCUCACUCUCUCUUCUCCCUUUCCCCGAAGACUCUCUCUCUUACCCUCCCUCUGCAACUUUCUCAACCGACGUCCAAACCACCCAAACAUGACCUGUAAUCUCCAUCUUUGAACUCCCCUCAACCCCACGAACACAACCAUGUAACCAGAUCUCGAUUUGGUUGAGGUUUGACUCCCCAACUCGGAAGCUCCGACUCGGUGAGUUCUGGAUCAACGAUUUUCAGAUUGAGUCACGGCGUUUUAGGACUUAGGGAAGCUACUACUAAACUCCUUAAAGAUCCUAGAUUAGUUUUGGUGAAGAGUUGACAUAAAAAAACAUGAGGUUUCAAGAAGUUCCAGUUUGGCCGUACCUUUCGAGCCAUUUUUAGGCCACCUUCGUCUACUUUUUGGACCUUUGAAAGGUAUAACGUGAUUCUACUCUUCAUAAGCUACAUUUCUAUAUAAAUUUUGUGAAAAAUGGUUGAGAAAUAAAAAAGAUAUGAAGGUUUGAAAAAUUACCCAGUUUUCGAGGACAUUUUUCCAGAUUCCAGCGAACCAAACAUCGAUCGACUGCAACCGGCGAGGCUUGAUGGAGAAGAGGACGGAAUAUUUUGUCAAAGUUGAUGGAAUAUUCUAAUGGCGUCACCUGAAGCCGUUAACUUCUGUUACUUUUUAACGAAAUAUUCCUAACGGCCGUUAGGGUUAGCCUGCGCGUGGUGGUGCGUAUGGUCGUGCCCUAGGCGGCACGUCUGGCCUCCGAUUGACCGUCUGUCAAUUUGUGUAGCUCCGUGACGUCGAGUAGAUUGAUUUCAUAUAUUCAAACCCUAUGUUUAAGCAAUCUACAGAGGUUUUAUUUAAGUUUCCGUAUAUGUGUUAUUAAACUCAUUAAAUUAGUAAUUUUACAUAUAG
rnacentral:lncRNA from 1 species